GAGGAAUCUGAUUAUUUUAACUGUUUUUCCAUGAUCAUUGAAAUGUCUGGCUUAAAAAUGUUUUCUCCCCCCCCCCCCCUUUUUUUUUUUUGCAACCAGCCUCGCACUCAUAUAGAUAAUCAAUUUUUUGAAACCGACUUGCUAAGGAAACGAACUGUAGCCCAUAUUAAAAUUUUGUUUAAUUUCGAUUUUGGCGGGUAGCUAUAGCGGAUAGACGAAAAAAACUUGCCGAGUUGUGAGGAAGCGGUCGUUGGUGCGUGCGCACAUCCCGUCACGGAGCGUUUUUCCGCCUUGCUACUCCACAACGGUAGGCAAUUGUGGCGGCACUGUGGUGAUAAAUUAACUUCCUUGUAUACCCCGCAAUACGCACGUGGGAAUAACUUCUCUAAGCGGACGGACCAUCUUGCCAGCGUCCGUCCGUUCUUUGCCCUUUUGUUACGUCGACUUCCCAUUUUUUUUAAAAAACAAUUAUCCUAUCAUUAAAAAAAAUAUAUAUAUAAAUGUUUUAGGUUAAUCGAUCCAAGUUUUUUUUUUUUGGAAGCUUGGUAUUCGAAGUGUGGCGUCGUUCGCUGGGCGACGGCCGCCAUGUUGUCCCUCCCUCCCGCUCCAAACAUUCUUGCGGCGUGAAACCCGAGCUCCCGCUCAAGGCCAGAUGGCAGGCAGCGGUGGUGGUGGUAUAGCUCGCAGUUUGUCUUGGGCAAAUGUCAUCAUCCUGUGAUAUUUUCUUCAGCACCCACCAUCAGGGGGGCCCGCCCCCCUUAUCCCACGAUGUCACUCACCACCGCAUUCUUGGGCAAAUUCCUUCUCCCUCUCCACGGACCUUGGCGCCAUCCGUUCCUUUCCUCCUUCGGGUUUCUUCCUCCUUUUCGCUACUCUUGUAGGAGGAUGAUUGCCUUAGAAUGACGCUGCUGAGUAUGUUGUCAUAACUGUGGUAUUAAAAAAAAAAACACUUUUGAUUCUCUGUCGUCUUGUCCAUAACGAAAGUGUGUAGACCAACACCUAUUAGUUUUCGUCUCAUUGUAGGUUUUGCCAACUAUUUUUUUAAAUUUAUUUUACAUCUUUCAGGUUGUGGGAACAAGAGAGCUACUUUCUCUCUCGAAUUAUUUCAUCGUCAUUAGUGAAAAGCAAUCAAGUUAACACUCUCCCAAGUUAAAUAACACGAAUGUAUCGCUCGGCUCUUCCCGCCCAACAAGAAAGAAGGGAUGGGCGGACGACACGUGCGGUGGGUGCUGUUGGGUGCUAUUUGCGGCUCGGUGGUGCGUUCACCUCCGUCCUCCAUUGUUUGUAAACGUCACCACGGUUGGCUCCUUGCACAACCGGCGGUGGCGGCAAUCUUGUCGUGCCGUCGACCUCGCUCAUUUAUGCCCUGCUGGAUGGCUUUACACAAAGUUAUGCCAAUAAAGGCCAACUAAUUAUCCUUGUAUGGAUUUGUAUAAAGUAUCCUAAAUUAGUCGGAAACAUACCUCGAAUUCUCACUGCUCUCUGGACUUUUAUACAAUAUGCCAGCUUGUGGAUCGCCAGGAAAGGUUGAGGCAAUAAGGUGAUUGUUUCAGGCAGCAGGAGGCCCGCAACAUCCUGGAGACACUGAAGGCGGUGUGGCCCAACCUCGACGAUGUCAACAGUGUGAUGGCCGUCAUGGGCCGCCUUAUCCACGAUCCAGGUACACUUGAACUCUGUAACGCUCGUAAAACAUUGGGAUGCUUUUUAUGUAAUGUAAUGACCGUUUAUUAGGUAUUUUAGUUGGGAAAAUGUACUAACUUGUGCUACAGUGACAUAGGUUUCUUUUUAAUUUCAAAAUUUUUAGGGAAAAUAAUUGUUCUCAUUGAAAUAGCAGUUUUCCUUCAUUCAAUCCCACUGUUCCUUUCCUUAGGAACAUUGUGACAGUUUCGGCUUCCAGGAAUGGUGGUGGCACGUGUGUUCUAAAUUUGGGGAACCCAGAACGUGCAGCUGUCGCGUGCUCGCCCAGCUGCGAGAGGGGAGGGGGGGGGGGUUCCGCUACAAGUAUUGUUCCCCCCUCACCUCCAAUCCUUUGGUUGGGGAGGGAGGGAUCAGUUGUUUAAUAAUAUAUAUGUAUAAAAAAAAAAGCGGCGGAGGGAAUACACACGCGCGUGUACCGGUAGAAAGAAGGGCGGGGGAAGGUCGGCAUUUGUUUCCUCCUUCAGCUGUGGUGUGACGUGACCUUGCCGAUCUCUCUCUCUCCAACAGGAAACGGUCACAUUACGUCACGGCCACGUCACCCCCCCCCCCCCCCCCCCCCCCCCCCCCCCCAACAAAUAAUAAUAAAGCGUCGUUAGGUUGGCUGCCGUCGGCACGCUGACCUUGUUCCUUCCCCACCCCAACCUCCUGGAACCUUGGCUGUUUCCUCACUGAGCAGUUUGAAACAAUUGUUUUGUUAAACUUUGGACCAUCUGUGGGUGCCAUGAUGUUAUUUCUACAUAAAAAGAAGCAGUUGACACAAUAGGUUGGAGUUCCACAAACACUGAAACAAAGCUUGGUGUCACUGAGUAACAUCACUAGCAAAUGGCAUUUAGAAUUAAGGCAGUUUAUUAUCAAAUAGAAGAUGGCUACACAUAUGCAUAUAUGGUAUUUGAUUGCCAUUGGUUACUUUCAUCUCCACUGCCAUCUGGCACCUCUCAACAGUAUCACUCUUUUUGAUGUUCACGUAUGCCCAAUGUUUUCUUAGCAACUUUUGGAGUAUCCUGGCAAAUGAUAUUUACAAUAUUUUACAAUAAUUGAUAUAAUUCUCAGCCUGCAACCCCAAGACAUUAUUGACUGUAUUGACUCAUCCAUUGAUGAACUCUACUCUUCCCCGGCAAAUAUCAUCAAAAGUCUCAAGCUUUAGAAGCUUGAUAUCUUAGUGUGAUUGAGUGGAGAUAAGAAAGAAGAAUAAUUGAAAUAUAUUUCCACCUGAUUAGUUUUUCUGCUUUCUUGAUAGGUUCCCCUCCCAGAUCUUGUCGCACUUUUAUUCGGAUGUUGUCCUGCAUUCUCUAAAGAAUAUACAGUAAUACCUGGAUGCAUCUUGAUUGAGUUAUUUCCUGCAUAUCUUACUGCUAUUUGGCAUCUUUCACUCUAACUACAAUAUGAUUAAAUUGAACGAUCAACUAGAUUUAAGAUUUGCUAUUUUUGGAUUUCAAUAGAUAUAUUUACAUAUCGUUUGGUUUUCUUUAUUCCCAGUGGAUACUUGAGGCAUCUUGUUACAGGAUGAUGAUCCGAAGCUUUCUUGAAAACUUUUGUUGUAAAUAUAAAGCAAAUUGUGUCAUUAUAAUCUUGUUUUUAAAAUGUAGUUAUAAUUAUAUGCGACUUUGCUCUGUCCUGCAUCUUUCACAUGAUAAUUUCUGUAAUAAUAGUUUCAACAGCUUCUCUGUGAUAUUACAUUUUUGUUUGGAAAUUUGUGUGCUUGAUUUGGAUAGGUUUGACUUCUCUUUUCUCUAGCUCAAUUAAAAUGAAAUAGGCUAGCACCUGAUUAUUUAGUUAUCAAAAAAUCUAUUACUAAAUAGGUAAAGCUAAGGAUAUUGUAGCGGGAGAUAUGCCAAUAUUGAGAUACUUUUUAACAAUUCCCACCGUGCAAGUGUAGUGGGCAAGAGCAUCCACGGAGGAGGUCUGCCAAUGUAAACAGAUAUUUUAUCUUAUCAUAGUUUACAUUAGAGGGGCUCUUGCCUCAGCUGCAGUGUGUGGGCAGAGACCAAUGUGAGGGUAGAGCUCAUCAACCAAAUCCCCCACGUGGCUGUCUUCUGCCACCAGCGGGAGAACAUUCUGGGGCCCUUGAUACGCCAGCACCUCAUCCCACUCCUGGUUAAUGUCUUCUCGGACGACCUGCCCUCGGUAACUAUUUCUACCACCUACCUACCUACCUACCUACCUAUCUAUCUGUGUUUUACCAUAAUACUAGGGCUAGCAUUCUUUUUUCUUGAAUGGUGCUGAGGGGACUGGUGCUACUUCAUAAUACAGAUUUAGAUGCCAAUUUGGAUUUCAGAUAUGGAGUGGCAAGAUAGGUUGUUAUAUUGCUACCAUCCUACAAGACUAGUAAUGGUAGCAUUGCUGGUACUGAAGCUUUGCAUGUAAAUUACUUGUUAGGGAUUAAAUGGAGUAAUGGUUGCUUAUUACAUAGUUGACUUUGUGCUGUGUAGGUGAGGAAGUCUAGUCACAAUGCAUUCCUCCUGCUGUUGGAACAAGGGCUGGUGCACAAGAGUAAGUCUAGUUGGUGUUUGUUCUCUGUCACCUAUGGCUAACUUAUUGCCUCAGCCAUGUUGGAGGAGUGGCUCUGUCCCAUGGUGGCCAUGCAGGCUGGGGAGGAGACCAUAGAAGAGGACAGGCGCCUCGAAGCUCUUCUGGUAAGUCUCGGCCUUUUUUUUUUUUUGCUUCUGUUGCCAAUUCUUGUAUAUAUUUGCUACUUCUGCUGUGUAACUUGGUUGGUUUCCAACUGGGUUGAUGCUGGAGACCUCGCCGUGAAAGACAUGGGUAGUGAGAUGUGUGGCCGACCCCUUCAUCUCACUAUCUUGUCUUUGACGGGGAGUCCGGCGACCUACGGUCUUGGCAGUAGAGUGUGGCGGGCCGUCAAAGGGGCUGUGAGAUGCGUUUUAUGCUUGCCAUAUCACAGCCACUUUUGAUGAGCCCGCUGCUCCUAUCCUCAUCAACGCUGUCGUCCGCCCCGACCACCAGAGCCAGGAGGGUCCUCACUCACAAAGUGGCGGUGACAUGUCAUGCCGUGCAAUCAUAUCACAGCCAUCUUUGAUGAGUGAGGCCCCUUUCCUGAUGUCUUCCCUACGCGACAGUGCUCCCGAGCAUGAUCGUCAAAGUGGCUGAUGAUGUGUUGCGACCCAAUCGUAUCACAGCCAGCUUUGAUGAACACCCUCAGGGGCUAAGGACUCCUCAGCUACAAGGUAUUUCUCUCUCUGUGCUCGCCUCCCACCUGAACCUUUCUUUAGAAUCUGUGCCAGUUGUGCUUAUCCCUAGUAGGAUGAGGUUGUACAGUAAUAAAGCCAUCUCAUCCUGAUUGUGCAACUAAAAGUUGCUGAUAUGUCACAAUAAAUACCACCUAAUAGUUGAUUUUUAUCAUUAUUCUAGAUAUGCCCAUAUACCUUUUUUUUUUGCUUAUUCCUAGUACACGGGGUACAGGCCAUGAUAAUCAUGGUGGGUAGUUAGUGACUGCUUUUACUGUAAGCGCCCCACAUGUCUACACAUGUGAAAAGCAGUUCGACUUUGCACUUACAAAUGUGCCAGAGCCCCGUUUGAUUACUUGCACUCGCUGGUGGGGUUGGACUUUUGCAAGAAUCGGGGGAGCCAUUGGAGCAUUUUUUUUUUAACAGAAAAAGUGUCUAAUGUGGGAAUCGAACCUGGGUCGUAGUGGUCGAAAACCAAACGGUUUAUCCAAUAUACCUUUUCUUGAUUAAUCAAGCCAACUUCAAAUACACAAUUUCAAUCUUUUGGCCCUCAUCAGCGUUGUACAGGCUGUACCUUAAUGACCAAAAAAACUGGUCUUUUAGACUUGGUAAAAAAAAAUCAAGGAAUGGGUAUUUGUCAUUAAGUGUGUGAGAAUGCCAAACCAUAGUGAAACAAAAAAAAAAGUGAAAUUGUACUUGGAAUCAGGUUAAUACAUUUUAAGAAAAGUAUCUUCUGAUGGUGCAACUGUUGUUGAUGGCUUUCACAAUCUGUCGGAUCAAAUAUCAACUUAUCUUUGAUUUUUUUUAAAUAAUUGCAGAGUUGGCAAAAUAAAGAGAUGUCUUAAUCUGGUCCAGUACAAUUUCACUAUUUUUCAUAUACUUUAUUAAAGUCUCAUUAUACCACUUGGCAUUAGCACAAUAGAGAGGUUGCCAUCUAUUUCAGUCUUUCACAAUAUAUUAAUAUUGAAUAAUACAUCUCUCUCAGCAGCACACUUAGAUCACAAAAUACUGAUUAUAUCUAUAGAAUAUUAUAACUGGGAGCUAUAGUAGGUAGUAGCUGCUUCUUGGACACUUGUAAAUUGUGUUUUUUUUUUUGCUUAUCCCUAGUACACGUGGCCAGGCCAUGAUAAUCAUGGUGGGUAGAGGUUAAUGACUGCUUUUACUGUAAGUGCACCACAUGUCUACACAUAUCUACGCUGGUGGGGUUGGACUUUUGCAAGAAUCGGGGGCCAUUGGAGCAUUUUUUUUAUAAAAUCGGGAAAAAAGUGUCCAAUGCGGGAAUCGAACCUGUGUCGUAGUGGUCGAAAACCAAACGGUGUAACCAGCUUUCCACCGACCCCCUUGUAAAUUGUGUGGCUCGCAUCAGUGUACAUUGCAGAGAAGGUAUUGAUCAAUUUUCAACCUAAUUAUUUCCCUUCCCCAAUUGGAUCUUAGAACUUGACUGUUUUGGCAGAUAUGGAGUGUUUUGUAACUAUUUGUAGUUAAUAAAGCCUAUGGUUUGUGUGAUUAAUAAAGUAAAGAUGGAAACUUGGUGUGGGGAGGACAAGACUUGGUUCAAAGUUGUAUACAACAAAACUUGUUGUAUCUACAAUUUAAAAAUUUUCAACAUCUUAGUAUUCCUUUGCAAUCAAAAAGUUAAUUAUUUCAUCAAACUCUUAAUUACCUUGUUUGGAUUUAAUUUCAUUUCCACGCUAUAAUGGUUAGUAGGAGAGGAACUUACUGUCUCAAUUCUUCUCUUAGUCUGAAGGUAUAUUGUUUCCCCGGUUUUUAUAUGCAGAAUAAUUAUCUCAUUUUAAAACCAAGUUAAUGGCCGUUUUAUUGAUUGACACCAAGUUGGGUGUUGAAUGAGAUCUCAGCCAUUCUUCAGCCACACUCUGGGGCAAAGUAACAGCUAGCUUUCCACUGACUGCUGUCAUGAUUCAUAUUUUGGGACUGUUGAUUUAGCUGAUCAGUUUUUUUUUUUGUGUUUUCUGUGAACUCUCAGCAUAUGCAAAGAGAGUUUUACAGAUAUUUAUGGCUUUGUCACCGACCUUAAUCUGCUAGUUUCACAAAAAAGUCAAUUUCUGUAUUAUCUAAUUUUGGGGUAACAAUAUUUAAGUCCAUUGAAUAAAUUCAUGGAUCCUGAACCAACAAGGUAUUCUAGUUAUAAAUGUAAUAUGAUUCUAGAAAUGAUCUUUUAUUUUAAAGAAGCAAUCUCAUUGAAUAGUGCCAUCCACUUACAUAGAGGUGGGUGAUAAAUAUUUACCCAUGGGCAAUCAGGAGUUGUGUUCACAAUUUGAGCUUCAGAUAUAAUUCCUAUUAAAAAAAAACUUGCUUAUAUUGUGAUAACCAUUUAUUUGGUAGAUAAUAUAAUACAUAAUAUGAAAUUGACACUAGUUGAAAGGGAGCCAUCUGGGCACAAGGAUAGCUUGAAAUCUUUGCCUUUUAACUAUUCUAAACCUAUCUGUGUUGCGCUGACUGACAUUACUGUGUCUCUAGUUGUUGUGCAAGGUUGCCUCGUUAGUUGGGCCAGAUUUGACAGAGAAGUUCUUUCUGUCACAAUUCCUCCGUCUCUGCAGCCACCCCUCGCCUGCCAUGCGCAAAGCCUGUGCAAUCAAGAUGGCUGAAAUGUGCAAUGUGAUGGGUACUGCGCUGGUUGAGUCCCAUCUGGUGAGUUAUCCUUCUCUCUCCGCUGGAAAUAUUCUAAACAGAUUCAUUGCAGCUUCCAAAGUUCCUAGAGCUCUGCAGAGACAAUGAAUGGGAGAUCCGCCGCUGUUGUGCCGAAGACUUCAUGGAGAUCUCGUGGGUGUGCCAGCUCUCCACACGUCAUCAUACUCUAGCUCCACUCUUCCUGGAGCUGCUCUCAGACACAGACUAUGUGAGUACCAUUCCUGUCACCCCACAAUGCACUUACUAGGUUGGUUUGUUGCCUUUUAACAAAAUCUAAAUUGGUAUUUUAUUGUAAAAAGUCAAAUUUUUGUCUUCAGGUUAAGUCUGCAGCCUACCAAUCUUUGGGGCCUUUCAUUUCCACAUUUGUUGAUCCCCUGAGCUUCAGCCCACCCCCACUGCCACCUUCUGAGGAAGGAGACCACUCUCUCAUGGAGCUCCAGAAACUUCAGGAGCUCUGUGCGGAGGUCACCCAAGCCCAGCAGUCUUCCAACAUGAACCAACUGCCAGAUGAGGCCUUCAACACAUUCCAGUACUGGAGGGAGCCCUUGCCAGAGGUAGACCCGUCCAUGCUGGUGGGCGGGAAGCCCAACGUGUGCAUAGUCAGGCCCAUGAGAAAAUCCUCUCCGCGGGAGGUGAGGGAGGCCAUGGAGCUGAUCACCAGGUUGGAGGACUUCUCCCUCACCCCCACCAUUGGUUACCAUCACAUGAACCCAGUAGAGUUGAGCGACAAGCUGCUGCCUUACUUCGAGGAGCUCGGCAAAAUUAUCAAUGAUGGGGACCUGGGUAGAAGUCCCACUCAGGUGAGUUUAUUCUACCCCCACUGAAUCCUCUAGUUGCUGCUAGGAAGUCAGCACAAUUGGAUCUAUACAUGGGAUGUGUCUCCAGACAUUGGCUGUUGUUACAAUAACCAAGUAGGAUAAUGCUAGCACAUAAAUUAAUAAUAAGACUCAUGUUAAAAUAGCAAAACCAGUGCUAAGAUGAAUUUUAAUAAUUAAAUGAUUUUCAGUCUUCUAUAUAGGAGCUGUAGAGGAACAAAACUCUUAAAAAGGUUAUGAACCUUUUCAAAGUACACUCAGGGGAAAAACUUAAGGAAGUGGAAAGUCUUUGAUGUCAACAGUUUUUUGAAGGAGACAGAUGCAAUUUUGUUCACACUUGGUUAUUCCGUGUCUCCUCAAUAAAGAUGUGUGAAUGUGUAUCUUUAAGAGAUAUUGUCAGAAUCCCAAUAUACAUGGUAAAAGGUAAAACUUUCUCAAGUUUUGUCCAUGAUUGUAAAUUGAUUAAUUGCAUUUUUAGUUCUUAUUUUAGAUUUUGAUACACUUAUAUAGCAACUUAUACAAAGUUUGUUGUUGCAUUCUGCAAGAGUAUAAACAAGCCCCUGAUGCAGGGUGUAGUGCCUCGCCAACUCCUGGAGCACUA
rnacentral:piRNA from 1 species